UCAGAUCACGUAAAUUUUUAAUAGUCGAACAGACUAAAUCUUUAAAACUCCUUCAUCAAAAAUUCAAUUUAAUUCAACAUCGAGGUCGCAAACUUAAUUAUUAAUAAGAACUUGCUAAUUAAAUAACGCUGUUAACCCUAGAGUAACUUUCUUUUGUUUAUAAUUCUUAUAAUUAAAAAUAGCCCUCUUCAAAUGUUACCCCAACAAAAUACCUUUAGGUAUAAAGCUUCUAGGGUCUUCUCGUCCCAAGAACUAAUAAAAGCAUUUUUACUUUUAAUUUAAUUUCAAAAAUUAUUUAAUAAAACUAUCCCUUUAGUUUCUACCUUUCAUACCAGUUUUCAAUUAAAAAA
rnacentral:rRNA from 1 species